rnacentral:misc_RNA from 1 species
GUACUCUCACACUCCUCUUAUUAUUGAGAGGAGUAGUGGACUUGGAUGUUGCUGCUUCAGUGUCAGGCUCAUCUCAAAUCGCUUAGUGUAACUCUAGAUUGGACAUAAGUAACAUGUUUACUACACAGCGUGAUAAGUAUCCUCGCUAGUGUGUCUAAUGGAAUGGGCUCUGCGCUUCAAACCGUCUUUUGACAAAACUCUGACA